rnacentral:rRNA from 1 species
ACGCUCGACACCUACGGGAGGCGGCAGUGGGGAAUAUUGCACAAUGGGGGAAACCCUGAUGCAGCGACGCCGCGUGGAGGAAGAAGGUCUUCGGAUUGUAAACUCCUGUUGUUGGGGAAAAAGAGGAUGGUACCCAACAAGGAAGUGACGGCUAACUACGUGCCAGAGCGUCGGUAGUACUGNGCGGCGNGNGAGACG